UACGAAGGGUGCAAGCGUUAGUCGGAAUUACUGGGCGUAAAGGGCGCGUAGGCGGUCGUGACAAGUCACUUGUGAAAUCUCCGGGCUUAACUCGGAACGGUCAAGUGAUACUGUCGGACUAGAGUACAGAAGGGGCAACUGGAAUUCUCGGUGUAGCGGUGAAAUGCGUAGAUAUCGAGAGGAACACCUGCGGCGAAGGCGGGUUGCUGGGCUGAUACUGACGCUGAGGCGCGAAAGCGUGGGGAGCGAACAGG
rnacentral:rRNA from 1 species